AACACAUCGGAAUCUACCUCGUCGGUGGGGGACAACGUAGGGAAACUUACGCUAAUACCGCAUACGACCUUUGGGUGAAAGCGGGGGACCAGCAAUGGCCCCGCGCGAUUGGAUGAGCCGAUGUCCGAUUAGCUAGUUGGCGGGGUAAUGGCCCACCAAGGCGACGAUCGGUAGCUGGUCUGAGAGGACGACCAGCCACACUGGAACUGAGACACGGUCCAG
rnacentral:rRNA from 1 species